CAGGAAAUGUCCCCCAGUUACCCUUCAAGGAAGGCUGCCCUUCCUCUGAGGUGGGGGUGAAGCAGACAGUCAGGAGUUUUCCUUCUGUGUUGAGCAUCAAGGAGUCCUGCAGAGUGGCCUCAUGGGAUAUCCGCUUGGGGAACACUAUGUGGAUUGUCUCAGCCGGCGCUGCAUCUUGAGGCCAGCAAAGGUGGACACCGUGCCAUGCUGAGGACUGCAGACCAGAUGCAGGCAGGUUCCCAAUGCUGGGCCCAAGAGAGUCCUGUUGAGAGUGUCACUUAAGACCUUGUGACCUCUGUGCAGACCACAUUUUGCAGUAAACCAAUGAGGAGGAAACUGGGAAUAUCAUUUGAGAGAAUAAAUUUAAGAG
ensembl:lncRNA